GAUGAAGAACGUAGCGAAAUGCGAUAAGUAAUGUGAAUUGCAGAAUUCAGUGAAUCAUCGAAUCUUUGAACGCACAUUACGCCCCCUGGUAUUCCGGGGGGCAUGCCUGUCCGAGCGUCAUUACAACCCUCAAGCUCAGCUUGGUGUUGGGCCCCGCCGCCCCGGCGGGCCCUAAAGUCAGUGGCGGUGCCGUCCGGCUCCGAGCGUAGUAAUUCUUCUCGCUCUGGAGGUCCGGUCGUGUGCUCGCCAGCAACCCCCAAUUUUUUUCAGGUUGACCUCGGAUCAGGUAGGGAUACCCGCUGAACUUAAGCAUAUCAAUAAGCGGAGGA
rnacentral:misc_RNA from 1 species